GAGUUUGAUCCUGGCUCAGAACGAACGCUGGCGGCGUGCUUAACACAUGCAAGUCAGGGAGAAAGUCUCUUCGGGGAUGAUUAAACCGGCGCACGGGUGAGUAACACGUGAGUGACCUGCCUUUUAGACUGGAACAACUUACCGAAAGGUGAGCUAAUGCCGGAUGAGUUAUAUAAGUGCAUGUUUAUAUAGGAAAAGUUGGGGAGACCUGACGCUGAAAGAUGGACUCGCGUCCCAUUAGCUAGUUGGUAGGGUAAUGGCCUACCAAGGCGACGAUGGGUAGCCGGCCUGAGAGGGUGGCCGGCCACACUGGGACUGAGACACGGCCCAGACUCCUACGGGAGGCAGCAGUGGGGAAUUUUGCGCAAUGCUCGUAAGAGUGACGCAGCGACGCCGCGUGAAUGACGAAGGCCUUCGGGUCGUAAAGUUCUUUCGACAGGGAAGAAAAUGCCUAUAAGUAACUGUGUAUGUAUUGACGGUACCUGUAUAAGCAGCCCCGGCUAACUCCGUGCCAGCAGCCGCGGUAAUACGGAGGGGGCGAGCGUUGUUCGGAGUGACUGGGCGUAAAGAGCACGUAGGCG
rnacentral:rRNA from 1 species